ensembl:lncRNA
AUCCGCUCGGGCCUCACCUUUGGGAGCCAUGGUGUCUCUUCAGGAGGAACGACAGACGCGUAAGAAAAGCAUCUUCUUAGUCCAGGGAGGUAAGCUUCAUAUUCAGACUCUCCUCUUGUCAUCGGAUCGCCUGCUGUUUCCAGCCACUAGCUGAACUGAACUAGAAGCCAGAGGAGCCAGGCUGACUCAAUCCUUAAAGGUUUAUGUAAUCGAUACUGUGGCCAUAAGAGCAGGUGUUCUCAAACCGUGAUCCUUGGACCAGCAGCAUCAGCAUCACCUGGGAACUUGUUAGAAAUGCAGACACUUGGGCCCUAUCCCAGACCUCCUGGAUUAGAAACUCUAGGGCUGAGGCCCCACGAUCUCUUGACAAGGUUUCUGGGUGAUAUUGACAUGUGCAGCCUUGGGAAAAAUCCAGUCCCAGGAAUCCAGCAUUUGCCAGUUGAGUUUAUACCUUGGUUCUUUUCCAUGAGCCUCAGUCUAAAGGGAGGAGGUAAUUCAUGCCAAGCAUCUGACAUGCUUCAGGGAUGCAGAUCUUCUUUCUGUAAAACCUGCUUUUCAUGAUUUGUUAGGCAGCACCUGGAGUUAAAAUAUGUGUUCAAAAAGAAGGGACUUCUGUUACAACUUAAAGAUUAUUGUUUUAGUGUAACCUGUCUUAUCACAGUAUAAAAUCUGAAUCACAGAGCUUUUAUUGUGGUUCAGAAUCUAUGCUUCUCAGAAAAGAGGAAGCUGGGGUCAUGAGUACCUGUUUGAAUUCUGCUGGUGGUGACUUCUGCACACAUAAGGGCAAGAAGACAGAGAGACCCUCUCCUUCCUCACAGCCACUCACGUUCAGAAAAUCCACUGGGUUCAGGGUCUGAUACUCUGCCCAGUGGAAACUGAUUAGAGCUCCUAAAAAGUCCAGGACCCAGGGCAUAUCCCAGGGCAGCUGUCCUUCUCCACCACCCAGAGAUGCUGCCCUCUGCCCUCUGGGACUGUCUGUAAAGGCCAAUUUGCAGCUGUGGAAGAUAUAUAAGCUGUUUGUGUUCCACCUCAAAUGCCAAGAGGAAGGUUAUCGGAGGGAAGAGCAGAGAAAGAUAAAUGAUAGCAAAUUCCUCCCGGAUCACCAGGCACUGUUCAUCUUGUGUCAUCUUCUCUUCACUCAGGGUGACAUAGUGAGAGUUCAGAAGUCACGUGUUCCAGGGCUCACUGUGUGCCGCAUGGUACACUCAGCGCCUUAUAUGUAUAUAUUAUUGAUAACAUAUAUAUUACCUUUGUUAAUUCUCAUGAUGAUCCUCAAAGAAGAUUUAAUCCCCAUUUUACAGAUG